UUAUAAAAUAGCCAUAAGCCCGUAAAUGCACUAUGUUGCUAAUUAUGUGCGUUUGGAAAUUAGCAGCACGGCGCAUUUGCGCGCAAUCUGGCAAUGCCUAUUAAUAC